CGCGUAGGUGGUUUUUUAAGUCGGAUGUGAAAUCCCCGGGCUUAACCUGGGUCGGUCAUUCGAUACUGGAAAACUAGAGUAUGGUAGAGGGUAGUGGAAUUCCUAGUGUAGCGGUGAAAUGCGUAGAGAUUAGGAGGAACACCAGUGGCGAAGGUGACUGCCUGGACUGAUACUGACACUGAGGUGCGAAAGCGUGGGUAGCGAACA
rnacentral:rRNA from 1 species